GUUGCGAUCCUUGUUGGGUCGCCUCGUGCGCCGACCGUCAGGAGCAGCAGCACUCUCCGCGAAGAGGAUCCCAGCUCCAGGAAGCGACAGGAGACGGAGAUUGUGAAGCCCUCGAUUCACGCCUCGUCCAGCGCUCCAAACCCACGUCAAGCCGGCUAGAUUCUGGAGGGCGCAGAGGAGCGGACAGCAGUUGUGCGCGGCCGGAGCUUUCAAAUGCGUCACGGCUUCGUAUUAUCGUCUUUCCAUUCAUCCUCUCGUACACAAUGCUCCAUUUGGUCUCCCUGAUCAUGUGAACCAAGCACUCUUAAUCACGGUCCGGGGACUUGAUGGCUAGCUAUCUCUUUGUUGCGGCCAGCAGCCUCGCGAAGCUCUUGACUCAAUCGCCAUCAGAAGUUUCCAAGAGGCUUUGCAUGAAAGUUUUCACUUGCAUGUUUUAUAGCGGGAUUUGUUUUGUCAUGACCAUAAAACACGUCUUUCACUGCCGAGGCAA